rnacentral:rRNA from 1 species
GCAGUAGUUUUCAUCAUAGUCCACCAGGAUACUCUCUUGGUGUGUACUGGGGUGUUAACCUCCUUUUUUUCUGGUACUUGCUAUCCAGCAAUGGGUAGUUUUGUCCAGAUAGUUUACUUUGAAAAAUUAGAGUGUUCAAAGCAUGAUUCACAUUUGAAUAAUACAGCAUGGGAUAAUAUAAUAUGACAUUAGUUAAAAUUUGUUGGUUUCUUUGGCUAAUGUAAUGAUUAAAAGGGACAGUUGGAGUAAUUUAUAUUGGUUGGGGAGGGGUGAAAUCCUAUGAUCCUUCCAAGAUAAACUAGUGCGAAAGCAUUUUACUAGGAUGUUUUCAUUAAUCAAGAUCGAAAGUUAAGGGAUCGAAGACGAUUAGAUACCGUCGUAGUCUUAACUAUAAACUAUGCCGACCAGGGAUAUGAGUUGUUAGGAUUAUAUGAAAAUAUAAUCAAUUUCUUCUUAUGGACCUUGUGAGAAAUCAUAAGUUUUU